UAUGGCUUUUGCUUUUUUUUUUUUUUUUCUUCCUCUUCAAAGGGCCCGGCUGGUCCAAAGGGGCAGCCUGGAGCUCCUGGACAGAAAGGAGAAAAGGGUCAAUGCGGAGAUUAUCCACACAGGCUGUUGCCUCUUCUCAAUUCAGUGCGGCUGGCUCCACCCCCAGUCAUAAAGAGACGCACUUUUCAGGUAUCCUUGUCCUUUUCCUCCUUUUUCUGUUUUAAA
rnacentral:lncRNA from 1 species